rnacentral:misc_RNA from 1 species
GCGACGCUACGCGUGAUAGAUUUGCCGACGUAAACAUCCAGGCGUUCAAAUAAUCGCAGUCAUCGAUCCUCCAGUCUUUGUUUCGAUACCUUCGCAAACGUCUGACGUCAUUUUCAUUUUCGUAACAAAGACGAACCUAAACACGGUACAACGCAAAGUUCGAUAUGUCGCUGGAAUACAUCGUGGCGCUUUGCCUGUUCCUCGCGGGUUUAGUCCUCGCGGUCUUCCUGCGCUCGAGGAGGACCGACGGCGUGCCACCUGGACCCUGGGGGUUGCCGAUCCUGGGUUUCCUGCCCUGGAUAAAUCCGGAUGCGCCACACGAGAGCUUCACAAUCCUGGCCCGCAAAUACGGCCCCGUCUGCGGACUGAGGCUGGGAUCCCUUUACACCGUGCUGAUCAGCGAAGCUCAUCUGGUGCGUCAGGCCCUCGCGAAGGAUUCGCUGUCCGGACGGGCCCCGCUCUUCGUUACUCACGGGAUAAUGCAUGGAUACGGGUUGAUUUGCGCGGACGGUGAUCUGUGGCGAGAGCAGCGAAAGUUCGUCGUUGGCUGUCUGAGGAAUCUCGGUAUGGUGAAGAUCGGGUCAAAACGGGACAAGAUGGAGUCCAGGAUCCUGACCGCGGUCGAAGAGAGCGUAUCGAAACUGAAGCAACGUUCGGCGAACGGAGGGGUCGAUCCUUAUCCGACCCUCCAUCACUGCAUGGGUAAUUUAAUGAACUUAUUGGUGUUCGGGAGAGUCUGGGAGGAGGAUGACGAGACCUGGAGAUGGUUACAGCGGCUACAGGAGGACGGAGUCAAGCACAUCGGAGUUGCCGGGCCGCUCAACUUUCUGCCGUUUUUGAGGCAUGUACCGAAGUACAAGAACAUGAUGAGAUUCCUCGUCGAGGGAAAGCUCAAGACCCACGAUGUCUAUCGUGCCAUUUCGGAGGAUCGCCGGAAGUCUGGAAGCGCGAGGGACUCCGUGCUCGCCAUGUUCGAGGAAGAAACCAAACGCAGACUGGCCUCAGGCGACAUUGGACACUUCAGCGAACCCCAGAAGCUACACUUGCUCGCCGAUCUCUUCGGCGCUGGAACUGACACAACAUUGACCACCCUGAGGUGGCUGCUUCUUUUCCUUGCCGCUUAUCCUCGCGAGCAGGAUGCCGCUCACAACGAGAUGAAGGCGGUGCUUGGACCGAGACCAGUCGAGCUCAAGGACCGGCCUGAUCUUCCACGUCUCGAAGCCGUCAUCGCGGAAACUCAGAGAAUCCGGAGCGUCGUUCCUGUCGGCAUACCACACGGUGCUCUUGAAGUACAUAUCGCCUGAUUAAUGCCAAUCGAAUAUUUUGUCCUUGACAAAACACGUUCCCUGCUACUUCUCGAUGUCACACCUUGUGGAAAGCGGAGAGCGAGGAGGCUUGAGUGGUUUUUAUCAAUUUCGUGUGAUUUUAGAGGUUUCUGUUCGCUUUUUGUUGUGCGUGAAGGUAUCUACGGAUUCAUUCCGUGUUACUCUGCUUUGUACGUUUUUAAUUUCUUUUGCAAAAUGCUUACCCUGCAACUGUCAAGUAGUUUAGGUAAAUUUGUUCAAGUUUUUACCGUCAGAGUGACUAUCGUCUACGUUGAUCUAGCGAGCCGUUCGUAGGUCUGUCUACUGCAGCACCAGUAACAAGCAAAGUGUUGUAACUGCGACUGUUUUUACGAUUCGGAAAUCGGCGGCUAUCUCAUACCCAAGGGAACGAUGAUCGUUCCUCUUCAAUGGGCGAUACACAUGGAUCCGAAAAAUUGGAAAGAUCCCGAGGAGUUUAGACCGGC